UAAAUAAAUAAAUCCCGAUCAGGUUCCCCUAACCGAACCGUAUUUCAACUUACAGCAAGUCCAUUUAAUAAAAGCUCAAUAAGUAAAAUUAAAAUUUCUUGCUGUUGAUGAGUGGUUAGUACGAAGUAGCAAAAAAUUUCACCGUAACACUCUAGUUUACGAUUACUAGCAAUUCCUCCUUUAUGUAACCGAAUUUCAGAUUACAAUUCAUAAAUGAAACUAUGUCAUAAUCUUAAUAUUUAAUAAAUAUACGAAGUAUAUAUAUAUGUUAACGAAAGUUAAUAAAAUUGUUAUUAAUAUUGUAACACGUCGAUAGCCCAUCUCAUUAGGGUCAUCAUGAUUAGUCUUCUACCUCUACUUCCUAUAAUUUUACAAUUAUACUUAUCUAAAAAGAAAAGGGUUACGUUCAUUCAAUAACUUAAUAUUAAACCUCACGGCAUGAACUGACGACAACGAUGUAACGCCUGUUAAUAAUUCAAGAGAUGGUAAGGUUCUUGGAGGAUCAUCCAAUUAAAUGACAUGUUCCACUGCUUGGGACUACAACCGUCUAAUGUCUUGUAUUUCACCCUUGCGAGCGUACUAGUCAGGCGGAGUACUAUUCAUUUUCAUUUUUCAUUUAUUGUACUCAUAGUUUACUGCUACGACUAAAUGGGUAUCGAAUCCAUGUCGCUACCGUAGCCUUCAUCUCACAACGUCAAUAAUUUUAAGUAAUCUCUUUAUAGUCUUAAUGUUUUCGUCGUAUUUUAUCCCUCUAACUUUAAUUCUUAUUACCUUUCCUCUCUCGAGUCAUUAUUCUAUAUCUCUCCUUUAAGAUACGUUCUACAGAUCCUUUAAGCCAUUCUGAUCAAUGCUUGCCCUCUAUGUCUAAUCAGGAUAGGUAGGCCCUCACAAGCUUUCCCCCCUUAAGAACCGUACGUGCGACUUUCAUCGCAUACGGCUCAAGCAUUAUUUUUAACACCCUUUUCUUAAGUCAGCACCCUUUCAGGCUCGUUAUUUAACUUAUCUAUAACAUUACAUUAUAGCUUUCGCUUUUUAAGAAGUCUUCUACCUCCUAUUCGUUAUUAUUUUUUCCAUAAAAUUUAUUUUAUAAAUAACCUCUAUUUUUCAAUAGUGAAUAUGAGGCUUACCAAGUUCCAUUUUUUACACUUUAUUUACCUUAGGUUCUACUCUUUACCCCUAUCAGUUUUAACGUCUAUAACAGAAUAGAUAUACGAUGAUUCUAUUCAGACUCCUGAUUAUAUAUUCCCCGUUUUUUGAGGUUUAUCUUAAAUUUAAGAUAUUAUCACUAGAUAUAUUUUGCCUAAAGAGGUCUCAUCAAGUAGUUUACGUUAGUUAACCAUAGUAAAUUUACCUAGCUUUAAAUAUAUAUGUGAUUUAUAUAUAUUUAAUUACAUUGUUUCUAUAGCUUCAUACCUUAGAAUCACUUCCAACGCAUGUAUAGAUAGGUACAUAUUUGUUACGAAUAAUGUCGAAUUUAUAUUUCGAAUUAUAAAAAAUAGCUUACUUGUCGCACACCGCAGCUGCUGGCACAUAUUUUAGUUAGGACUCUUUCAUAAUUAGUAUCAUUAUUACUAUUAUUUAGAAGUUUAUAGUUAAUCUUUUAUUAUUUAUUUUUUUAUAUUUAGCUUAGCUAAGUAUAAAUAUUUAAUAUCCUUCUCGUAGAUAACUUGAUCAGUCGUUAGACCAUUGUCAAAGAUUCCCCACUGCUGCUCUAUAUAAGAGUUGAUAAUUUUAUCAAUGUGGCCGUUGUGACGCUUAUCGCCGGCUCCAGUUCCAUGGCUAGAUUUUUAUCUAUUACCUACAUCUGAAUAAGAUAUUUUCUUUAUCUUAUAUCACUCACCUUAACGCUAUUCCCCUUAUGGGUAUAACUCGCAUGUGUUAUGUCUCUACAUAGCAUUUGAUCUGAACCAACAUCAUGUUCUCUCUUUU
rnacentral:rRNA from 1 species